rnacentral:rRNA from 1 species
GAUGAACGCUGGCGGCGUGCCUAAUACAUGCAAGUCGAGCGAACGGACGAGAAGCUUGCUUCUCUGAUGUUAGCGGCGGACGGGUGAGUAACACGUGGAUAACCUACCUAUUAGACUGGGAUAACUUCGGGAAACCGGAGCUAAUACCGGAUAAUAUUUUCAACCGCUUGGUUCAAAAGUGAAAGACGGUCUUGCUGUCACUUAUAGAUGGAUCCGCUCUGCAUUAGCUAGUUGGUAAGGUAACGGCUUACCAAGGCAACGAUGCAUAGCCGACCUGAGAGGGUGAUCAGCCACACUGGAACUGAGACACGGUCCAGACUCCUACGGGAGGCAGCAGUAGGGAAUCUUCCGCAAUGGGCGAAAGCCUGACGGAGCAACGCCGCGUGAGUGAUGAAGGUCUUCGGAUCGUAAAACUCUGUUAUUAGGGAAGAAAAUAUGUGUAAGAAACUGUGCACAUCUUGACGGUACCUAAACAGAAAGCCACGGCUAACUACGUG